AUAAAUAGUUCGCAACCUCGCUUCACGCACUUUCUAUUCCUCUUGUUAAUAACUCAGCUGCGUCAAUUAGGGUUUUUCUCUUGAGGGAAAGAAGCAGCUUCAGCCCUUUGUUCACCAUGAGAGCUAAGUGGAAGAAGAUACCGUAUUAGUCUCUCACGUUUGAUAUUUUGAUGCUUAAUUUCUGUCUCAAAACUUACAUUAGCUUGAAAUAUUCUUGCUACUAUUCUGAGUUAAGAAUUUUUUUCUAUUUA